rnacentral:lncRNA from 1 species
AAAAAAAGGAAAAGAGAGAAAGAGAAAUCUUUCUGUCUUAAGUGUAAUUAACAAUGGCUUCCUCAGUUCUUUCCUCAGCAGCAGUUGCCACCCGCAGCAAUGUUGCUCAAGCUAACAUGGUUGCACCUUUCACUGGUCUUAAGUCAGCUGCCUCGUUCCCUGUUUCAAGGAAGCAAAACCUUGACAUCACUUCCAUUGCCAGCAACGGCGGAAGAGUGCAAUGCAUGCAGGUAACUUAUAUACACUCACAAUGCAAAGAAUUUUGAUACAAUUAAUGAAUCUUAAGAUGUCACAGCUAAAAAUUCUAUUUGGUGGAGUAUAGGUGUGGCCACCAAUUAACAAGAAGAAGUACGAGACUCUCUCAUACCUUCCUGAUCUGAGCGUGGAGCAAUUGCUUAGCGAAAUUGAGUACCUCUUGAAAAAUGGAUGGGUUCCUUGCUUGGAAUUCGAGACU